AGGUAUUCCUUAAGCAUUUUGUCAGGAUAUUUAUAUCGGCAGACAUUUUUGUGCUAAAAUAGAAAUUAAAAGUGUAUAUUGCCAGAGUCACUCAGAACAGAGCAGACUCCAUUUUGCUAUCUUCAGGAUAACAAAGACACAUAAUAUCCUUGCUUUCACUAAUCACUGAGCCUGAGCUAAGGAAUAUAAUAUAAACACAGACACUAGUGACAAAGAAGACUAAGCAAUUAAUUUUACUUUCUAAAUUUUACAAGGUCCCAUUGUAAGUAAGGGGUGAAAUUGAGUUUAGAACUGUCAAUUUUAGAAAUUACGAUCAAAGUAGUUGCCACAAAGACUGAGACAAACGCUUUGAACUGACAGCAAAUUUAAGUUAUGGUAGUCAUUCUAGAUAAGCCAAAUGACGUCAAAAUCGUCAUCAGGAAACGUUAACUCUUUCCUGGAUAGGAAGGUUUAGUGAGGCAAGACUGCCCUCUAUGGAUCAAAUAUCUAAAUUGCGAUCUGCAGGAUGACCACACCUACAGUCUCCUAUUGGCCUUAUCAACUAAUGACGUACAGAGAGUCUGGCCCUUUAAAAGUUAGGACAAAGGGGAGAGAGGGGUAGUUGGUGGAGUUUGGGCAUUCAGACUUGGACAUGCAGAGAGAGAGAUUCAGGACACUCUCUGGGACUAACACUCAACUCUUAAACUCCAUGACACUUAAAGUUUACUGAUACUUUCUAACCAACAUCACUUUUCUCUAUUACUCACGCACCUCCAUACAACCAAUCAUACUCGCAUUUUCCUGGGACUACCUACUCAUCUGAUGAGAAUACCUACAUAACUAGUAAUUAUGCUGGUUUUAUUUAA